CUUGACGGAGCCGAGCCAGAGCGGGCGCCCCUCGGGCCGCUGCUGCCCGUAGGUGCCGAGCAGGGCCCCCGCCUC
rnacentral:antisense_RNA from 1 species